AUAUAUAUAUAUAUAUAUAUAUAUAUUUGUGUAACAUUAGACAGUUAUAUUUGUCCAAAAUAACUACAUAUUAUUGUCAUUAUACAUCUUAUUUGAAUUCUCAAAGAUGGUUACUUUGCUAUUUAGACUUUCCCGCAUGAUAAUUACUUAUCAACAAGGCUGAUCGGUCCAAUAAUUAUGUCACUGAUUGUAGCCGCAUAUUAUAAGUAGAUUUUAUAAAAGUUAAAAAUUUUUGACCUUGUAGUUAUACCGGGUGGCCCAUAAAAAAGUACUCCUGUUUGAUUCGUAAUAACAUCUAAACAAGUAUAGCUUUUAAAGAGAAAUAACUUGCAUCAAAUAGAGGAAGGACUAACUUAGACUUUGAUAUAUUACAGUUGUAUUUCACUUAAAAAUUCACGGAGAUAUUAAUCUUUAAAUUCAGGAGGAUAUUUCUGGAUGUGUCUGAAAUAUGCAAAAAUCGGCGUAUCAAAUAUUAAUCAAGAUUUGCCCGACUGAAACAUGCACUAUUACCAGUAAAUAAAUGACACUUGACAAAUUGGUUAUUAUGAAACAAAGUAUUAUUAUAUCUACAAAAUACAAGCAAGAUUCAUUCGUCCGAAAUUCGCGUGUGUUCCUAGCACGAAUACGUUUCCUUAUUUCAUGAGACCACUGCAUCGUGAAGGAUCGUCAUUGGAUCGUUCGUAGUUCUGAAUUAGGGCAUGCUGUCACAACGGAAUUGUGAAGCUCUUCUAACUUCUGCACUACGUUCUGAAAUCUUGUUAAGAACACCCAAACUCUUUUGCCGUUUCUUAAUCUUGGCAAGUUCAUGGAGUAAACUGAGAAUUAUAUGAAACACAAUCAAACCAUACAACUCCAUAAGACAUAACAAUUAAGCAACUCCCCAGAGACAUGCAACAUUUUUGGAACAAAACGUAACCAAAUAGUAGCGUUGAUACGGUGAUGUGUAUUUGCAAAAAGCAAUAUUAUUUCCUUCAAUAAAGAAUAUUCAUCCUGCUCUAACCGAGAAAUAAUCUACUCAGUCUGUUUGAACCCAUUAAAAACAUAAAAAAAU